ensembl:misc_RNA Metazoa_SRP Metazoan signal recognition particle RNA
GCCAGGCAAGGUGGCUCAUGCCUGUAAUCCCAGCACUUUGGGAGGCCGAGGUGGGAGGAUCACUUGAGCCCAGGAAUUCAAGACCAGCCUGGGCAACAUAGUGAGACUCCAUCUCUA